rnacentral:rRNA from 1 species
AGAAUCAACGCUGGCGGCGUGCCUAACACAUGCAAGUCGCACGAGAAAGGGGCUUCGGCUCUGAGUAAAGUGGCGCACGGGUGAGUAACACGUGAAUAAUCUACCUCCGAGUGGGGAAUAACUGAGAGAAAUCUUAGCUAAUACUGCAUAACACUUACGAGUCAAAGCAGCAAUGCGCUUGGAGAGGAGUUCGCGGCCGAUUAGUUAGUUGGCGGGGUAAUGGCCCACCAAGACGAUGAUCGGUA